UGAACUGGUAAACCACAAAUCCUUGAAGAC
rnacentral:piRNA from 1 species